rnacentral:rRNA from 1 species
AGCAGCCGCGGUAAUUCCAGCUCCAAUAGCGUAUAUUAAAGUUGUUGCAGUUAAAAAGCUCGUAGUUGAAUUUCGGGGUUAGUAGGUUGGUCAUGCCUCUGGUAUGUACUGGUCUCACUGAUUCCUCCUUCCUUAUGAACCGUAAUGCCAUUAAUUUGGUGUUGCGGGGAAUUUGGACUGUUACUUUGAAAAAAUUAGAGUGUUUAAAGCAAGCUAACGCUUGAAUACAUUAGCAUGGAAUAAUGAAAUAGGACGUUCGAUCUUAUUUUGUUGGUUUCUAGGAUUGACGUAAUGAUUAAUAGGGAUAGUUGGGGGCGAUUAGUAUUCAAUUGUCAGAGGUGAAAUUCUUGGAUUUAUUGAAGACUAACUACUGCGAAAGCAUUUGCCAAGGAUGUUUUCAUUAAUCAAGAACGAAAGUUAGGGGAUCGAAGACGAUCAGAUACCGUCGUAGUCUUAACCAUAAACUAUGCCGACUAGGGAUCGGAUGAUGUUAAUUUUAUAAUGACUCAUUCGGCGCCUU